rnacentral:rRNA from 1 species
GACAGAGGGUGCAAACGUUGUUCGGAAUUACUGGGCGUAAAGCGUGUGUAGGCGGUCCACUAAGUCGGGUGUGAAAGCCCUGGGCUCAACCCAGGAAGUGCACUCGAAACUGGUGGGCUAGAGUAUCGGAGAGGUUGGUGGAAUUCUCGGUGUAGAGGUGAAAUUCGUAGAUAUCGAGAGGAACACCGGUGGCGAAGGCGGCCAACUGGACGAAUACUGACGCUGAGACACGAAAGAGUGGGGAGCAAACAGG